UGGUGAACGCAGUUAUAAGGAGAGGAGCAGGCUUCUCUCACUCCCUCGGCUUUGAAGAGUUUGGACAGAGAGACUCUAUAUCGCUUGUUGCAGAUGCUGAUGCCAGAUGUUCGCAGGCUGUAUAGCAACCCGGCAAACACUGCUUUCUGGCAACAGAUCUGCCAGCGCACGUGAUCCUACUGUAUGCAGAGAAGCCAUUAAAGAUAGCACCUGUCAGUACCAGCACAUGCCCAGCAGAACCUAUCCCAGUAGUGCUGUCAUGUGACCAGGGCCAUUGAACUGCUG